rnacentral:rRNA from 1 species
UGCGUAGGCGGUCUUGUAGGUCAUAUGUGAAAUCCCACGGCUCAACCGUGGAAUUGCGUUUGAAACCACAGGACUUGAGUAAGAUAGAGGUAAGCGGAACUGAUGGUGGAGCGGUGAAAUGCGUUGAUAUCAUCAGGAACACCGGUGGCGAAAGCGGCUUACUGGGUCUUUACUGACGCUGAGGCACGAAAGCUAGGGGAGCGAACAGGAUUAGAUACCCUGGUAGUCC